rnacentral:rRNA from 1 species
AGGACAGGUGCUGCAUGGCUGUCGUCAGCUCGUGUCGUGAGAUGUUGGGUUAAGUCCCGCAACGAGCGCAACCCUUGCCUUUAGUUGCCAGCAGUUCGGCUGGGCACUCUAAAGGGACUGCCGGUGUUAAACCGGAGGAAGGUGGGGAUGACGUCAAGUCCUCAUGGCCUUUAUGACCAGGGCUACACACGUACUACAAUGGCCGAUACAAAGGGCAGCGACAUCGCGAGGUGAAGCCAAUCCCAUAAAAUCGGUCUCAGUCCGGAUUGGAGUCUGCAACUCGACUCCAUGAAGUUGGAAUCGCUAGUAAUCGUGGAUCAGCAUGCCACGGUGAAUACGUUCCCGGGCCUU